rnacentral:tRNA from 1 species
GAGGGUAUGGCUCAGUGGUAGAGUGUGUACUUAGCAUGCAUGAGGUCCUGGACUCAAUCCCCAGUACCUCCA